GCCAGCAUGGCACAGUGCUUUGAGCGUUGGACUACGACUCCAGAGACCAGGGUUCAAAUCCCUACUCAGCCA
rnacentral:tRNA from 1 species